rnacentral:tRNA from 1 species
CGGUGCGCUGGGCCGCGGCCCCGACGGUUCCGGCGUCGACGGUUCCGGAGGCUGGGGCGCCGACGGUUCCGGCGCCGGCGGUGCCGGC